rnacentral:pre_miRNA from 1 species
AGAACACAUUUUUUAUCCCAUCUACCCGCAGAAUAAAAUGGAGUAGAGGUGAUUAAAUGUGUUCUGA